GACGAACGCUGGCGGCGUGCUUAACACAUGCAAGUCGAACGGUGAACGAGGGAGCUUGCUCCCUCCGGAUCAGUGGCGAACGGGUGAGUACCACGUGGCAAACCGCCCCCGAAUCCUGGGUUAACCUUGGGAAACACGGCCAAAUCCCGGAUCAGCUCGGGAAGGGAUUCUUUCCCCGGUGAAAGAACUUCGGUUCGGGAUGAGCUCGCGGCCUAUCAGCUUGUUGGUGAGGUAACGGCUCACCAAGGCCACGACGGGUAGCCGGCCUGAGAGGGUGACCGGCCACACUGGGACUGAGACACGGCCCAGAAUCCUACGGGAGGCAGCAGUGGGGAAUAUUGCACAAUGGGCGCAAGCCUGAUGCAGCAACGCCGCGUGAGGGACGACGGCCUUCGGGUUGUAAACCUCUUUUAGCAGGGAAGAAGCGAAAGUGACGGUACCUGCAGAAAAAGCACCGGCUAACUACGUG
rnacentral:rRNA from 1 species